rfam:Schistosoma mansoni strain Puerto Rico chromosome 1, complete genome
AGCUUUUUGAAUCUGUGCAAAGAUUUAAUCAGAUACCAACCCAUUAGGGAUGGUCAGACUUUCAAGAUAAGUAAAGGU